UUACGGCCACAUCAUGUUGAAACACUGGUUCACGUAAGAUUACCGAAGUAAAGCAACUUCGAGCCUGUUCAGUACCUAGAUGGAUGAUCGUUUGGAAAUACCAGGCA